GAGGGUAGAGCUCAGUGGUAGAGUGUGUGCUUAGCACGCAGGAGGUCCUGGGUUCAACCCCCAGUACCUACA
rnacentral:tRNA from 1 species